rnacentral:rRNA from 1 species
CGGGGGGAGCAAGCGUUGUUCGGAUUUACUGGGCGUAAAGGGCGCGUAGGCGGCCACCGCAAGUCGACUGUGAAAUCUCCGGGCUUAACCCGGAAAGGUCAGCCGAUACUGCGGGGCUAGAGUGCAGAAGGGGCAACUGGAAUUCUCGGUGUAGCGGUGAAAUGCGUAGAUAUCGAGAGGAACACCUGCGGCGAAGGCGGGUUGCUGGGCUGACACUGACGCUGAGGCGCGAAAGCUAGGGGAGCGAACGGGAUUAGAUACCCCGGUAGUCCUAGCUAACGAUGAUGCUUGGUGUCUGGGGGUUUUAUAGUCCCCCGGGUGCCGUCGCUAACGCUUUAAGCAUUCCGCCUGGGGAGUACGGUCGCAAGACUG